GAAAAAAAAAAACAGUAACCAAAGUCAUUUUUGCACCAUGUUCGAAGCCAAUCUUGGACAGAUGGAUUCAUACGUAGAUCCUUUAACAACCAUUGGAACGUCACACUGUCUCUGUGUCUCACUCUCUCUCUCUCUCUCUUUCACUCUCCCGAGUACAUACUACGUACAGUUCCGCCUCAUUGCUUCCCUCUCUCUCUUUCUCUCUAAAAAUAGCAAAACCAGAAAGAAAAAACAAUAAAAAAAAAGCAGAUUCUUGUGAUCUAAUGCCUCUCUCUUUCUUGGUUUAUUUUGGUUCUUCAUGUAGGGAGAAAAUCCACAGCAAUUUUUUUAGAUCUCAAUUAAACUUACCCAUUUCGUUUUUUUGAUUGAAACCCACUUUAAUGGGUCAAUCUCAAUUUGCUAUCUUCACUUUAAAAAUGUUAGUAUUUUUGUUUCCUACGGAAUCAAAGUUCGAUUCAAAGUUUGAUUCUUGAUGGUUGAAUUUGGUUUGCUCCGAUGCUUUUUCUUAAUGUAAAAAUUUAGAAUUGGUUGAGUUUUCGAAUCAACUCUGUUGAUUUAGUUCAUUAGAGUUACUAAGUAGCUGUCGUUUCCAUUCUUACCCUUGUUUCAGGGAAAAAGGAGUAUUAGUUGCGUGCUUUUUACUGCUUUUUCAUUGAUCAAUCCUUUUCAUUGCAUGGUUGUCAAUCAACUAGUUACUACUGUAGGCAGCUAGCAUCAUUAGCAUUGUUCUUUCCUUUUUUCCUUAUUCUUCCUUUCUCAUUAUGUAAGGUAAGUUUUUACCUAUAUAUUUUGACUAUUAACAUGGAUCCGAAUUGUUACACAAGUUUAAAGCUUGGUUUUUGAACUUUAUUGUUUAACCUUCUGCAACACCACCUUUUGUGCCAAUGGUAAUGGAUUGGUGCUCAUUCACUAGAAUAAUUAGGCGCCCUUAUUAGUGUUAAAGAGGUUUUUUUUUUUUUUUUAAUUUCUUAGUAAAAGGUGUUGCAGUUACCCUCUUGCAAUGUUAUUGAGUAAUUGACAAUUCCAAGUAAUAGUAAUAUGAUAUUGAAUUUCAAGAUUUGAUUCCGAAAGGGUCAUACAAGAAGUAACUUCCGUAACUUGUGCGCUUGACUCUUGUAUGCUGAAGAGAAUUACCUGAUGGUUUCUUACUUGUUUAUUUAAAUGUUUGAUCAGUUAUCUAAGGUGUUUCUCUCUGACAAGUUGUGAAGUGAUUUGUGUUCUUCAUUCUAUGAAUGAAGUCUGAUUGUUGCAACAAAACAGAUUUAUUUUGAAUAGAAAGUUUGACGCCGGAUAGAUUAGGAGAAGGAGAUCUGUGUUGUGACAAUUUAGUGCUCAAGUGAAAAGACUUAAACGAAGGAUGAGGGGAAGAUCUGAUAGAGGCCAACAUAAGCGUUUAAUCACCUCUCUCUGUGUCGUGGCAAUCUUUCUUUGUUUUCUCUAUGUAUAUUAUGGAUCUAUUUUUGGGUCUUCAAGCCGUGGUGCUGCAGCUCUAGAAUAUGGCGGCAGAUCUUUGAGAAAACUUGGAUCAUCUUAUUUGGGUGGAGAUGAUGAUGGCAUGCAAUAUGAGUCUUCAACCAAAUUUGAAUAAGUGGAAGGAGAAGAAGAUGUCAUACAAAAUCUUUCCCUGUUUGCGAUGAUCAUCAUUCAGAAUUAAUUCCCUGAUUAGACAGGAAUUUGAUAUACCAAAUGAGAUUAAAGCUGGACUUGUCUGUUAUGGAGCACUAUGAACGGCACUGUCCACCUACUAUUGCUUGAUUCCUCCUCCUUCAGGAUACAACGUGCAGAUUCCCAUAAACUGAGCAAUCAGCUUAUUGUUGCUGUAUAUUUGUUAACUGAUGGUCAUGAUCAUAUUUAUCAUAUAUUGACUGUCUUUUAAUUCAUGUGAAAUUACAGAUCCCAAUUAAAUGGCCUCACAGCAGAGAUGAAGUAUGGAAUGCAAACAUUCCCCAUACUCACCUUGCACAUGAGAAGUCUAACCAGAACUGGAUGGUUGUAAAAGGUGAGAAGAUAGCAUUUCCAGGGGAGGCACCCAUUUUCACUAUGGAGCUGGCAAGUAUAUUGCUUCGAUUGCAAAUGUGUGAAUCCUUUUCCACAUACGCUUGAACUUAUGAUUUACUCCAUGCUUGGACUGUCUUUUCUGAUAUUGAGAAGAAAGGCUGCAGUGCUGAGGAUUUGUUACUUGAGAUGGAUCGCAUUCUCCGUCCCAGUGGUUUCAUAAUCACCCAGGACAAGCAACCAGUGAUAGAUUUCACAAGGAAGUAUUUGUCAGCUUUGCACUGGGAACCAGUAGCAACAGCUGAUUCCAGUUCGGAUUCAGAUCAUGAGGGCGAUGACAUUGUGUUUAUUGUCCAAAAGAAAUUGUGGCUGACAAGUAAAAGCCUCAGGAAUUCUGAAUAGAGUUUUUCAACCCCAGGACUUCCCCUUUCUCUCAUAGUAUCUUCUUCAGCUCCAAGGGAUCAGGAAGCUCCGUUACUGAUGCAGUAGACAAGUUCAUUUUGUGGCAUUAAGCAAUGGUUCACAUUAUUAUUUUUUUUACCUUUUGUUUUUCAUGUAAUGAAUCACUUGACAUGCCAUAAACUGAUCACCAUCCAUAGGCUAUUCUUCAAUUUUUUUCCCUUUAUUUUGGUGUUGUUCAAAGCUACUUCAGCUAAUGACUAAUAAUCAAAUACAAAAAAUAUAUAAUGCUCAAGUGCAUAAACAUUGAGGCUUUUAACUCCCAAGUUUUUCCAUAACUGAAUAUUCUUCUUAUCUAUUCUCUUUGCUUUUCUUGCCUCUUUGUUUGUUCUUUGUGGUUAGGCUACAUUGGAAAAGCUGUAGCUUUCACUGGCAGGUUUUUCCCUUACAGGAAGUUAUGGAUUUGGAUUUAGGUUUGAAUCUCCGAUGGGCUGUAAUUCGAGGUGGCAAAUGGACGGUUUAGAUUCCAUUUUUGUCAUUUUGUAUUCAGCGUGUGUUUUGCAUCAGAUUAAUUCGAGUUCAGAUUGUUUCAAAUCCAGAACAAUAUGUUUUAAUCAUUUCGGAUUUGGCUGGGUUCAUGUUGAAGCUUUUUCAGGCUUU